UACGAAGGGGGCUAGCGUUGCUCGGAAUCACUGGGCGUAAAGCGCACGUAGGCGGACUCUUAAGUCGGUGGUGAAAUCCUGGAGCUCAACUCCAGAACUGCCUUCGAUACUGUGAGUCUUGAGUCCGGGAGAGGUGAGUGGAACUGCGAGUGUAGAGGUGAAAUUCGUAGAUAUUCGCAAGAACACCAGUGGCGAAGGCGGCUCACUGGCCCGGUACUGACGCUGAGGUGCGAAAGCGUGGGGAGCAAACAGG
rnacentral:rRNA from 1 species